rnacentral:rRNA from 1 species
UACGUAGGGCGCAAGCGUUGUCCGGAAUUAUUGGGCGUAAAGAGCUCGUAGGCGGCCUGUUGCGUCCGCUGUGAAAUCCCGGGGCUCAACCCCGGGCCUGCAGUGGAUACGGGCUGGCUGGAGGCAGGCAGGGGAGAACGGAAUUCCUGGUGUAGCGGUGAAAUGCGCAGAUAUCAGGAGGAACACCGGGGGCGAAGGCGGUUCUCUGGGCCUGUUCUGACGCUGAGGAGCGAAAGCGUGGGGAGCGAACAGG